rnacentral:rRNA from 1 species
UUCCGGUUGAUCCCGCCGCCGGACACUGCUAUCAAGUUCCGACUAAGCCAUGCGAGUCAAGGUAUCGUAAGAUGCCGGCAAACUGCUCAGUAACACGUGGAUAAUCUAACCUUGAAUAUGGGAUAACUUCGGGAAACUGAAGGUAAUACCUUAUAAUUGCUUAAAACUGGAAUGUUUUUGCAAUAAAAGUUACGACGCUCAAGGAUGAGUCUGCGACCUAUCAGGUAGUAGGUGGUGUAAUGGACCACCUAGCCUCAGACGGGUACGGGCCCUGGGAGGGGUAGCCCGGAGAUGGACUCUGAGACAUAAGUCCAGGCCCUACGGGGCGCAGCAGGCGCGAACACUGUGCAAUGCCCGAAAGCGCGACACGGGGAGCUUGAGUGUCUUGGCAUAGCCAAGACUUUUCUCAUUCCUAAAAAGCAUGAGGAAUAAGUGCUGGGUAAGACGGGUGCCAGCCGCCGCGGUAACACCCGCAGCACGAGUAGUGGUCACUUUUAUUGAGCCUAAAGCGUUCGUAGCCGGUUUUGUAAAUCUUCAGAUAAAGCCUGAAGCUUAACUCCAGAAAGUCUGAAGAGACUGCAAGACUUGAGAUCGGGUGAGGUUAAACGUACUUUCAGGGUAGGGGUAAAAUCCUGUAAUCCCGGAAGGACGACCAGUGGCGAAAGCGUUUAACUAGAACGAAUCUGACGGUAAGGAACGAAGGCUAGGGUAGCAAACCGGAUUAGAUACCCGGGUAGUCCUAGCUGUAAACAUUGCCCAUUUGAUGUUGCUUUUCCGUUGAGGGAAGGCAGUGUCGGAGCGAAGGUGUUAAAUGGGCCGCUUGGGAAGUAUGGUCGCAAGACUGAAACUUAAAGGAAUAGGCGGGGGAGCACCGCAACGGGAGGAAUGUGCGGUUUAAUUGGAUUCAACGCCGGGA